rnacentral:rRNA from 1 species
UACGAAGGGGGCUAGCGUUGCUCGGAAUCACUGGGCGUAAAGCGCACCUAGGCGGACUCUUAAGUCGGUGGUGAAAUCCUGGAGCUCAACUCCAGAACUGCCUUCGAUACUGGGAAGCUCGAGUCCGGGAGAGGUGAGUGGAACUGCGAGUGUAGAGGUGAAAUUCGUAGAUAUUCGCAAGAACACCAGUGGCGAAGGCGGCUCACUGGCCCGGUACUGACGCUGAGGUGCGAAAGCGUGGGGAGCAAACAGG